rnacentral:misc_RNA from 1 species
GAACACCGGUGAGGAAAACGGAACAUACACAGCGCCGAGAAGACGGUAACGGCAUACAACCUGAGCACUGCUACAGGAACCUUCCCUGUGCAUCUGCCGCUAUCCCUCCUUCACGCAAGCAGCCCUCGACUCUGCUGCAUGUGCUCUGUGUCGCGUGUGAGCGUCUCCCUCUCCUCUCGUCAUCUGCAUAGACCCCUUCACAGGUUGCACCGCGGGUACGUCUGUACGUGUGGGUGCCACCGCCUAGCAUAUACCCCCUCUCCUCCUGCCUCAUAGACAUCGAGGCCAGUCACCCCCAUCUCAUACAGAAGCACUUUCUGUCCUUUUAUGGUGGCAGUGGCUUGACUCCUCGCCGACUGCACGCACACGGCGCAAUCACCGACACCACACGCCACAAGUCGCCACUGCGCCUCCGCACGUCUUGAUACAAGCACACGCACGCACUUCACUUCAUUUUUCACCUGUUCAUACUCCUUCCAUAGACGUGAUGGCACCGCGCCGAUCUCGCGCCAAGCGCCUUCACCUCCCCGCUGUGGCUCGGUGCCUUGCAGCACAGCCCUCCGCGGCUCCUCAUGCGACGGUGGCCUCGCCAGUGGCUCCGCCGCCCGCUGCGACCGCGCCUGCAGCGAAACCGCCAAGAUCGGUGGAGCCCCCUGUCGCCACAUGUGUGCAGCCGGCGGCCACCUCCGUGGAGCCCGCAGCGAUCGUUGCGCGAGCGCCAGUUGUCGAGGAAACCCCCGCAGCACCAGCACCGAAUUCCACGUAUGCCGCGACCGUCCUUACAAGAGUGCGCACAGCCGAGGUGCAGUGCCCUCCUGACGUGACGCCGGCUUCUGUUGCCGCAACCGCCUCUGCGGUGCCCGCAAGUGAAGCGAUGCCGCUGGCUGCUCCAGUAUCAGCAGCACCAUCGGCGCAUUCACCGCGAGCAGCCAUCAGUGCACAUCGUGGACGACUGCGUGCUAAGCGACGCGCAGCUGCGGCGCUCGCGCGCAAGUCUAAGCAUCAUAGAAACACCAUUUCCGCACCGCAGCAGGCGAUCACUCCCUCCACGUCGUCUCAGCCCCCGGCUCCUGCAGCGGCUCCGGAGACGGUGCCUGUUGCAACAGUGGAGGCUCCAGCAGCUGAGGCCGCAGUUGAGCCAACCUCGGAUGCAGCAGCGUCAAACAUUGCACAAGCGGGCUCGGCGGCGUCAGAACUAGAAGGUCCAGCAGCUGCUACGGUGGUGUCGUCCCCUCCAGCACCAGCACCGAUUUCCACUCCCCACCGCUCCGCGAUCAGCCGCAUUCCCAAGAAGCGAAAGUUCUUCGCAGAGCUUGAUGAUAAUGUGACCCUACCAGCAGCAGAGGCAACACCACCACCCGCCUCCUCAGAAAGGCAUCUACAGGCCUCAGACGCUGCGGUGGAUGCGCUGUCGGUGACCAAGGUUGCGUCCGCCGUGCCGUCUGUGACGCUGACAGCAGCAGUGGAGGAAGUCACCAAGAAGACUUCCGCAGUUGCUGGUGCGCUGCACGCUCCCGCUGCUGCGCGUCGCAUGGUGACUCGCCGCACUUCCAAGACGCAUGCAAAGGGAGCAGCGGCGAAGCUCCAGCACAGCAGUGGCAGCCUUGUCUCCGCCGAGGCUACCCUUGAAGCAGCGCCGGCAGUAAUAGCAUCAGUGACCAGAAAAGCAUCUGCCUUCAGUGCAGCCACGCUCACGAUGGCCGAGAAGCCCGCGACACCGACUGCACCUGCCGUGGCGGCGCCUUCUGUGGAGCCUCUGCAGCGUUCUGCUUCCUCGACGCCUCCAUCUACGGCCCCACACGUGACCUCUGCCGCUGCGGUCGCUCCAUUGGGUCGUGCCACCAUCAGCCGCCUCUCGAAGAAAAGGAAGCACUUCUUCGCGGAGCUGGAAGAGCCCCCAGCAAGUGACGCAGCGCCGUCAGUACAGGGGACCUCCACCCUGCCUGCGGCGGCGCACGCUGCAGUGACUCUGAAGGGCAUUGGCGCUGCAACUACGAUAGCGGCAGCGGAGCCCACGGCGCCGACGGUGGAGGCCGUGGUGGCCCCCACUGCGGCAGCGGUAGCCGUGGCUGACGUGGUUGAGACGAAGGCAACGGCCACGCGGGCGAUGGCGAGACGUCGAAGCAUGAAGCGGGGGAAGCUCCCGCCGGAGGCCGCGGUGGCAGAGGCACCGUCGGCUGCAGAGGCGAUUUCCUCUGAGGCCACUGCACCAACACCUGCGACGCCAACUGUUGAAGCGACGUCAGCUUCCGUGCCGGAAGCUGUUCAGGGUGCCGAAGUCGCAGCCCCUGCGGAGUCGAUCGGAGAGGCGGCCACGACGGCAGACGCAGCUCGGCCAGUGGAGGGCCCCACUCCUCCCGCUGCGCAGCGCAAGCUGCGUACCGCAAAAAAGGUGAAGCGCCUAACUGCGGCGGCGAUCCGGCGGCGCGAGCUGGCUGCGUACAAUCGCAUUCCGAAGCGCUUCCGCCCCCCAGAGGUGCCACGAUCGGUGUGGUCUACGCCGGUGGCAGCGCCACAGAGCACGCCUGCACCGACAGAUGUCUCAGCGGCGGUGAGCGCAACGCAGACGAAGUCGAUGGAGGCCACAGGGGUGAUGCACGCAGAGGGACAGACACCGGCUGUGGUCGAGGCUAUCGUGGAGGCACCCGCAGUCGAGUUGGCUCAGCCUCCACCACGUGCAUCUACCGCCUCGGCAGCUGCAGCGGUGGAGCCGGAGGCGCCUCUCACCGAGACAACGAAGAGUGCAGACCUCUUCGCAGCCCCAGCAGAGGAGCAGUGUCUGAUGGGUCAGGCGCGUGUAGCGACCAAGAGCAUGAAGGUGCGCCUUGCACAGUCGAUAAGGAAGCGCUUCUUCACUUCUCUCGAGGAUGUGCCGGCUGCCAACCCGACCGAGGCGGCGGCCACUGAGACGACCGCCGCUGCCGUGGAAGUGCAAGUCGCCGUCCCUCAGACUCGUGCUGCCAUGGAGGCGAUCGAGCCUUCGCCUCAAGUGGCAGGCGACGGCACAACAGUGGAUGCCGAGCUGACUGCCGCUGCAGAGGAAGCUGUGGCGCCAAAAAGCACUCUCAACGCAGAAAGCAAGGCGGCCCCUGCUACAUCAGCAGUGGAAGAGGCGUCCACCGAGGCGCCGCAGCCGAUGGCGGCUCACCCACCCACCGAAACCAACCCGGCUGAGGAGCCCUCCUUCAAGGCUGUCAAACCACUGUGUACCGGCGGAGUAGCACCUGACUCAGAGUCGGUCGCGGUGCACACGGGCGCCCCUGCGCUCGCCCAGAGGAAGGUGGUGCGCGUCACCAACGUGCGGGACUUGCUGAAGGCGAUUCGCAAGGCGAAGCGGGCCGGCAAGCGGGGGUGCUCAAAGGAGCGUCUUUCCCACAGGCCACUGUCGCAGCACCUCGUCACUGCCGUCACGGGAGCAGUAGAUGAAGUCGUGAAUGCGGAAGCGUCGUCCACGGCCGCAGAGGCGAAUCUACCUGCGGAAGUAAGCGGCGCAGGAAUCCAUGCACCACUACAUAAAGAAGCGGAGGCGGCGACGGCUGUGGAGGAGACGGAAGCCCCCUCAGCGACUGAGCAGCAGACGGUGGUGCAGGCACAAGCGGCAGAGGUUGAGGUGGAGAUGUGCGUUGAGUCGACGACGACGAUGGCGGCACCCGAAGUGACGGAGGUGCGCUUGACAGAGCCUGUGGACAAGGAAGCAGUGCAGCCGCCAGAGGCGCUGCAGCAUGCGGAGAUGCUAGUGGCACCGGCACAAGCGGCAGUCGCGGCCCCCGUGAAGGACUUCCUGCCACGCGCCUUCUCUUCCCCGUCGCCUGCGCGGCGCCAGGCGGCGAAGCAGAAGAUCAAGAAGCACGCGAAACUGGCGGCAGCGCGGCUAAACAAGCGCCAGACUUACACCGUGUCGGCCACAGCGCCCCUGGCAGCAGCGCACGCCCCCGCUGAAGCUAUGGACACCCCGCUGGUAGAGGCCGUACAUGCUGCUGCAGAGCCGCCCGUGCCGCCUGCAGAAGAGGCGUCCGCCGCAACUCUUGUGCGCCGUUCCGCACUGGUGCUGCCCAGCGGCAACGUGGUCGUGGAGUCAUUCACGGACAAUGAGAUGGUGCUGCGUCGCACGGCCCUUGACAACAGCUGGGAUGUCGGGCUGCGGUUUGACUGGCAGGAGCGCACGCUAGCCAUCUCGUCAUUCCCCACGUUUGAGGAGACGGACAAGCGGUCGGCUCACCCGUUUGUGCAUCGGUUCAAGUCGAAGCCGCGGUGGCUGCUGAAAGAGGUGAACGAGACGAACGCGGCGCACAUGAAGAAGGCACUGGACUCCAUGAAUCGGAGUUUGACAGCGCGUUUUGUCUUCAGGCAUUUGAGGUAAGAGACGGAGGUGAAAGCAGGGAUUCUUGCGUGCGCGCACCUUUGUUUCUCCGACCCCUUCCCCAUUCUCGGUGUCGUGGUUCUCCACGCCAUCCAUUGAUGCGGCAUGCUAGGGAGCAAUUCUUGGGGGGUUGGUGUACCCCUGUGCACGUCAAGCUGCCGUCUUUGCGCUGAGAUGGGGGACAUGGCUUCUUGUGGCGCUGUGUUGUUCCCUUGCCGUUGAUAUUCAUAUGUUCUCUCCCUCUCUCUGCGGUUUGGUGUUUUUUUUUGCGGUGAAGCGCGCGACAGUCUCAUAGAAGCUCGGCUUCGGCAACAGCAGCAACAGAAGAAAAAAUGAGUGUGAGCGGGGACGCUACGUGGAUGAUGGCGAGCUCGCUCUUCCUAAGGAUAGCGCGCGCGGGGAGGAAAGUGUAUGUGAUGUAAGUAAGUACCACCACUCUCGUGCGACUGUGUGCAUGUGUAUGUGGAGAGAGCAGCAAGCCUUGUUAGUUUUCUCGACCGCUGCCCACGCCACCCCUUUCCAGUUCCUUGUCCUCCGCUCUGACCCCCCCCUCCCCUCUCUCCCUUUAAGCCAUAGAUUCUCGACAGACGGAUUGCCCAGGAGUUACUCCGGCGUUUGUGCGUAUGCUGGAGUAUCUGUGCCGCCGUCUGAUCGCUCCCUCUCUCUCUGAUGUGACCGAUAUGUUUUUCCGUCCUCUCGUGCGCUGGAUCGCCGAGGGUGUGCUCGUUUUCGUCUACACCGCCACCCCCCUGCCUCUCUCUCUCUCCCUCUCUGGCUCUCGACCCCCCCCUUAUCCUCUCCUUUGCUGUGGUGGCGGUAUUAGUAAUUAUCGCUGCGUGCUUGGUGUGCACGGGCACUGUCGCUGUGGCUGUUUGGUGUGCGUGUGUGUGUGUUGGGGGGGGGCGCAUUGGUGAAGGAAUGUCUUUGAUACUCUAGCGGACCCUCCUGUCUCUCUGUUUCUGUAGUGGAUGCGC